GAUGAACGCUGGCGGCGUGCUUAACACAUGCAAGUCGAACGGAAAGGCUCCUGCUUGCAGGGGCACUCGAGUGGCGAACGGGUGAGUAACACGUGGGUGAUCUGCCCUGCACUUCGGGAUAAGCCUGGGAAACUGGGUCUAAUACCGGAUAGGACCAUCGUUUAGUGUCGGUGGUGGAAAGUUUUUUCGGUGUGGGAUGAGCUCGCGGCCUAUCAGCUUGUUGGUGGGGUAAUGGCCUACCAAGGCGUCGACGGGUAGCCGGCCCGAGAGGGUGGACGGCCACAUUGGGACUGAGAUACGGCCCAGACUCCUACGGGAGGCAGCAGUGGGGAAUAUUGCACAAUGGGCGCAAGCCUGAUGCAGCGACGCCGCGUGGGGGAUGACGGCCUUCGGGUUGUAAACUCCUUUCGCCAGGGACGAAGCGAAAGUGACGGUACCUGGAUAAGAAGCACCGGCUAACUACGUG
rnacentral:rRNA from 1 species